rnacentral:rRNA from 1 species
GACAGAGGGUGCAACCGUUGUUCGGAUUUACUGGGCGUAAAGCGCGUGUAGGCGGCCUUGCAAGUCGGAUGUGAAAGCCCACGGCUCAACCGUGGAAGUGCAUCCGAAACUGCAUAGCUUGAGUCUCGGAGAGGAAGGUGGAAUGCUUGGUGUAGAGGUGAAAUUCGUAGAUAUCAAGCAGAACACCUGCGGCGAAGGCGGCCUUCUGGACGAUGACUGACGCUGAGACGCGAAAGCGUGGGGAGCAAACAGG